rnacentral:rRNA from 1 species
GAUGAACGCUGGCGGCGUGCCUAAUACAUGCAAGUCGAGCGAACAGACGAGGAGCUUGCUCCUCUGACGUUAGCGGCGGACGGGUGAGUAACACGUGGAUAACCUACCUAUAAGACUGGGAUAACUUCGGGAAACCGGAGCUAAUACCGGAUAAUAUAUUGAACCGCAUGGUUCAAUAGUGAAAGACGGUUUUGCUGUCACUUAUAGAUGGAUCCGCGCCGCAUUAGCUAGUUGGUAAGGUAACGGCUUACCAAGGCAAUGAUGCGUAGCCGACCUGAGAGGGUGAUCGGCCACACUGGAACUGAGACACGGUCCAGACUCCUACGGGAGGCAGCAGUAGGGAAUCUUCCGCAAUGGGCGAAAGCCUGACGGAGCAACGCCGCGUGAGUGAUGAAGGUCUUCGGAUCGUAAAACUCUGUUAUUAGGGAAGAACAAAUGUGUAAGUAACUAUGCACGUCUUGACGGUACCUAACCAGAAAGCCACGGCUAACUACGUG